UGGCUCAGAUGAACGCUGGCGGCAGGCCUAACACGUGCAAGUCGAACGGUAACAGGAAGCAGCUUGCUGCUUCGCUGACGAGUGGCGGACGGGUGAGUAAUGUCUGGGAAACUGCCUGAUGGAGGGGGAUAACUACUGGAAACGGUGGCUAAUACCGCAUAACGUCGCAAGACCAAAGAGGGGGACCUUCGGGCCUCUUGCCAUCAGAUGUGCCCAGAUGGGAUUAGCUUGUUGGUGAGGUAACGGCUCACCAAGGCGACGAUCCCUAGCUGGUCUGAGAGGAUGACCAGCCACACUGGAACUGAGACACGGUCCAGACUCCUACGGGAGGCAGCAGUGGGGAAUAUUGCACAAUGGGCGCAAGCCUGAUGCAGCCAUGCCGCGUGUAUGAAGAAGGCCUUCGGGUUGUAAAGUACUUUCAGCGGGGAGGAAGGUGUUGUGGUUAAUAACCGCAGCAAUUGACGUUACCCGCAGAAGAAGCACCGGCUAACUCCGUGCCAGCAGCCGCGGUAAUACGGAGGGUGCAAGCGUUAAUCGGAAUUACUGGGCGUAAAGCGCACGCAGGCGGUCUGUCAAGUCGGAUGUGAAAUCCCCGGGCUCAACCUGGGAACUGCAUUCGAAACUGGCAGGCUUGAGUCUUGUAGAGGGGGGUAGAAUUCCAGGUGUAGCGGUGAAAUGCGUAGAGAUCUGGAGGAAUACCGGUGGCGAAGGCGGCCCCCUGGACAAAGACUGACGCUCAGGUGCGAAAGUGUGGGGAGCAAACAGGAUUAGAUACCCUGGUAGUCCACGCCGUAAACGAUGUCUACUUGGAGGUUGUGCCCUUGAGGCGUGGCUUCCGGAGCUAACGCGUUAAGUAGACCGCCUGGGGAGUACGGCCGCAAGGUUAAAACUCAAAUGAAUUGACGGGGGCCCGCACAAGCGGUGGAGCAUGUGGUUUAAUUCGAUGCAACGCGAAGAACCUUACCUGGUCUUGACAUCCACAGAAGAAUCCAGAGAUGGAUUUGUGCCUUCGGGAACUGUGAGACAGGUGCUGCAUGGCUGUCGUCAGCUCGUGUUGUGAAAUGUUGGGUUAAGUCCCGCAACGAGCGCAACCCUUAUCCUUUGUUGCCAGCGAUUAGGUCGGGAACUCAAAGGAGACUGCCAGUGAUAAACUGGAGGAAGGUGGGGAUGACGUCAAGUCAUCAUGGCCCUUACGACCAGGGCUACACACGUGCUACAAUGGCGCAUACAAAGAGAAGCGACCUCGCGAGAGCAAGCGGACCUCAUAAAGUGCGUCGUAGUCCGGAUUGGAGUCUGCAACUCGACUCCAUGAAGUCGGAAUCGCUAGUAAUCGUGGAUCAGAAUGCCACGGUGAAUACGUUCCCGGGCCUUGUACACACCGCCCGUCACACCAUGGGAGUGGGUUGCAAAAGAAGUAGGUAGCUUAACCUUCGGGAGGGCGCUUACCACUUUGUGAUUCAUGACUGGGGUGAAGUCGUAACAAGGUA
rnacentral:rRNA from 1 species